GCGGCGCUAUAUAAUCAGAGUCUCACACCUGCUGACUUCCACUGCGACAUUGAUGCACUGUAUGCUGAUAAGCCUUUUGGUGCUGUUUUUCCCAGGAGUUUGCAUGUUCUCCCCGUGCCUCGGGGGUUUCCUCCGGGUACUCCGGUUUCCUCCCCUGGUCCAAAGACAUGCAUGGUCAAACGGAUGUGGCGUAUGGCGUAUGCUAGCACUUAAAUUGGCGGUUUCUUGGCGCGGUCUCGCAACUUGUACAAGAUGUCUUUGGGAACAACUUACACAUUGAGGAGGGGCACGUUGUCAGCUGUACUUCGAGAGGAUGAUAUAACAGUGGACAACUUGCCGAGGAUUUUUAAGGUAACACAAUCAAGUGUUUACUUGACCAGUGACCAGGGAGUUUCAGUUUUUCCAUCCACAUCUAGAUUCUUUAGUUGUUUGGAUCUCAUGACUGGUGGAGGAACCUUCCAGGUGAUGGGGAUGAAAUGUGCGGGGCAUUACCAAGCCCAGUCACAAACCCAUUUCACCCAAACCCUGGUCAGAGUCGACCUCGUUUUAGUUUUUCAAGAUCAUCCACUGCUACUACUGCUGCUGCUCGCACACCCCAUCCUGCAACUAAUCAAAAAAUCUACCAAAGAACCAUUUUCCUUGGUCAACUUGAGGGUGACAAAAUAGUACAGGACAAGGCCUUGGUAAUCCCUUUUGAAGAGUCUGAGGCCUGUUUGUCUACCAUCACAAAGUUAAAGAAGCCCUUGCUGUGGGUGCUGAUGAAAACAUCAUUUUAACUGAUAGUCAAGGAAACCUGCUCCUUGAUGCCCCUGGCACAAAAGGUUCUGCUUAUUGGAAGCAGAGGUCCAGGCGCCUUUUUGCCAUCCAAGAUGUUUUUGCAGAAAUGGGAAGAAGAAAAAGAAGAAAACUAGGGAGUGAUGAACAGACCUACAGUAUGCUGGCGCACUGCUGUCGCAGUUUGGUUGGUUGUCGAGAGUGUGUCAACGCUAUACUCCAGGAGGGUCAAGGAUGUGUUAAGUGUCGGUCUCCAAUUACAGAGGAAUCCCUGGUGGCUGUAGCUGGCCUCUCUGAAGUUUUGAAUGUAAUUAGGGCCAUAGAAGAGCAGUACACUUCUGUAUAAAAGUGUAUAUGCAUGUAAAAGAUGCAUGUUUCAAAUGUUAAAAAAGUUCAUGCACAAUAAGACAAGUUUAAAUAGUCCUGUUAUUUAUUUUUUGGUGGCUGUAGUUGGCCACUCUAAAGUUUUAAAUCUAAUUAGGCCCACAGAAGAGCUGUAGUAUAUGCAGUAUUGUUAUAUGCUAUAAUGAAUGUUCAAAUGUUCA